UACGAAGGGGGCUAGCGUUGCUCGGAAUCACUGGGCGUAAAGGGUGCGUAGGCGGGUCUUUAAGUCAGGGGUGAAAUCCUGGAGCUCAACUCCAGAACUGCCUUUGAUACUGAAGAUCUUGAGUCCGGGAGAGGUGAGUGGAACUGCGAGUGUAGAGGUGAAAUUCGUAGAUAUUCGCAAGAACACCAGUGGCGAAGGCGGCUCACUGGCCCGGUAUGACGCUGAGGCACGAAAGCGUGGGGAGCAAACAGGAUUAGA
rnacentral:rRNA from 1 species